GACGAACGCUGGCGGCGUGCUUAACACAUGCAAGUCGAACGGAAAGGCCCUGCUUUUGUGGGGUGCUCGAGUGGCGAACGGGUGAGUAACACGUGAGUAACCUGCCCCUGACUGUGGGAUAACUUCAGGAAACUGGGGCUAAUACCGGAUAGGAUCUCCUGCUGCAUGGGGGGGGAUGGAAAGUGUCGGCGGUUGGGGAUGGACUCGCGGCUUAUCAGCUUGUUGGUGGGGUAGUGGCUUACCAAGGCUUUGACGGGUAGCCGGCCUGAGAGGGUGACCGGCCACAUUGGGACUGAGAUACGGCCCAGACUCCAACGGGAGGCAGCAGUGGGGAAUAUUACACAAUGGGCGGAAGCCUGAUGCAGCAACGCCGCGUGCGGGAUGACGGCCUUCGGGUUGAAAACCGCUUUCGCAUGUGACGAAGCGGGAGUGACGGUAAUGGGUAAAGAAGCACCGGCUAACUACGUG
rnacentral:rRNA from 1 species